UGCAAAAAUUAGCUGGGCAUGGUUGCACGUGCCUGUAAUCCCAGCUACUUUGGAGGCUGAGGCACAAGAAUCACUUGAACCAGGGAAGCAGAAGUGGCAGUGAGCUCAGAUCGCACCAUUCCAACCUGGGUGACAGAGAGAGACUCCAUCUCAAAAAUAAAAUACAAUUUAAAACAAUAAUAAAAAUUUAAAAAUAAAUUCAUACCUCAGAACUCUUAAAUAUAAUUUAGUCAACUCUAAAAUUUAUUGACAAAUUAACACACCGAUCUUAACUUAAAUUUUUUAAUAUGGAAAAAUACAACUUUUGCCUGAACUCUCAAAUUUUGAUGUUUAAAAAAAUAUGUCUAAAUAGUCUCGAUCUAGUUACAAAGUUGUGGCUGAAAACUGAACAGGCAGAGACAUGAUCAACUAACCUCUCAGUCAUUCCACACUAAAUAAAAGCAGCAGAUUUUCCCAAACUCCUUCCAAAAGGUAUAUUUCACUAGACAAAUCCAUGAACUAUAGACAACUUCAAGUAUUUUAAAAACAGGCCAGGUGCAGUGGUUCACGCCUGUAAUCCCAGCACUCUGGGAGGCCGAGGCGGGCGGAUCACAAGGUCAGGAGAUCGAGACCAUCCUGGCUAACACGGUGAAACCCCGUCUCUACUAAAAAUACAAAAAUAAAUUAGCCGGGCGAGGUGGCGGCGCCUGUGGUCCCAGCUACACGGGAGGCUGAGGCAGGAGAAUGGCGGGAACCCAGGAGGCGGAGCUUGCAGUGAGGCGAGAUCCGGCCACUGCACUCCAGCCUGGGCGACAGAACGAGACUCCGUCUCAAAAAAAUAAAUAAAUAAAAAUAAAAAUAAAAAUCUCACUCUUGAUAUUGAGAUGGAAAAUGACAUAUUUUGUUUGUUUCUUGACUGAACUGAUUCUCAACAAUGUAGCUUAGGCACUACUCAAAAACUGGUUAUAUAUCUAUAUUUUGAUCAUGUUUUCUUUUUUAUUCUGAUAGAAUCAACUUGAUUUUUUUUUUUUUUUUUUCCGAGACGGAGUCUCGCUCUGUGGCCCAGGCUGGAGUGCGGUGGCGCGAUCUCGGCUCACUACAAGCUCUGCCUCCCGGGUUCACGCCAUUCUCCUGCCUCAGCCUCCCGAGUAGCUGGGACUUUAGUGGAAAAUUUGCAUUCAUAUUUACACAAAGAGCAAUGCCCUACAUAAUAGAAAACUAACAACUUACUAUGAUUUAUGGAAAUGUAAUUUUUGAAAGAGCUACCCAUAACCUCAGGUUCUUCAGAAACCAGGAAGAAUAGAAAUGGCUUUGUCAGCCUUUAAAAAUAGCUAUUAAUUUGCUAUUCCAAAUGUCAGCAGGUAAGUUACUCCAGAGAAUACGGCAUGAAAAGCACCCAAAAGACAUGGAGAAGAUUUACACUUGAGUUCUUGUAUUUCAAACUCAUUGUAUUUUCUUGAUGAUGAAGACAAAUGAUUUUUGUAAAACAUACAUUUGUAAUUUAAAGACAGAUAGAUGCUGACUCAUUACGCGGAUUAAAAUACUCUCCACAUAAAGAGUUGUCAUCUGCCAUAGCACCACCUGCCUCUACUCCAUUUUCAACCUCUUUUUUCCUUGUUUUCCUUCCGACAUUUAGACAUGAGAUUUCACUCUUGGGCUUAAAGUCGGCCCCCAGUAAUAAUGCUAAUACUAUUCUGAUGGCCUUUUCAUUCUAACUCUGAUUUUAAUUCUAAUUCUAAUACUAGCUAAAGUUUGUUGAGUGUGCUUACUUGAUACUCUAAAUGCUUUACAUGAACUAUCUAAUUUUUUUUUAAUUUUUUUUAUUUUUAUUUAUUUAUUUUUUUUUUUUUUUUUUGAGACAGAGUCUCGCUUAGUCGCCCAGGCUGGAGUGCAGUGGCACGAUCUCGGCUCACUGCAAGCUCCACCUCCCGGGUUCACGCCAUUCUCCUGCCUCAGCCUCCCGAGUAGCUGAGACUACAGGCGCCCGCCGCCUCGCCCGGCUAAUUUUUUGCAUUUUUAGUAGAGACAGGGUUUCACCGUGUUAGCCAGGAUGGUCUCGAUCUCCUGACCUCGUGAUCCGCCCGCCUCGGCCUCCCAAAGUGCUGGGAUUACAGGCGUGAGCCACCGCGCCUGGCCAUGAACUAUCUAAUUUAACAGAAAUAGCAACCUACUACAAUCUCUCUCCAUUUUACGGAUUAAGAAACUGAGGCACAGAGAGGUUGUAUCUGUAGGAAGUGGCAGAAUGAGCCAUCUACCCAGGCAGUCAGGGUCUAGAUAGAAUCUGCAGUCUGUUUGAACCACUGAGCUCUACAACCCCACCCAGUGGCCCCACUCAGUGGGAAAGGGCCAUGGAAACCAGUUUUUCUUGUAAAAAGAAGUUCACUUCACCAAACUUGACCAUGCACGCCACAGCAAGCUGAUGACAGUGCCAUACAUGAUUUUUC
ensembl:lncRNA